GGUUAAGCGACUAAGCGUACACGGUGGAUGCCCUGGCAGUCAGAGGCGAUGAAGGACGUGCUAAUCUGCGAUAAGCGUCGGUAAGGUGAUAUGAACCGUUAUAACCGGCGAUUUCCGAAUGGGGAAACCCAGUGUGUUUCGACACACUAUCAUUAACUGAAUCCAUAGGUUAAUGAGGCGAACCGGGGGAACUGAAACAUCUAAGUACCCCGAGGAAAAGAAAUCAACCGAGAUUCCCCCAGUAGCGGCGAGCGAACGGGGAGCAGCCCAGAGCCUGAAUCAGUGUGUGUGUUAGUGGAAGCGUCUGGAAAGGCGCGCGAUACAGGGUGACAGCCCCGUACACAAAAAUGCACAUGCUGUGAGCUCGAUGAGUAGGGCGGGACACGUGGUAUCCUGUCUGAAUAUGGGGGGACCAUCCUCCAAGGCUAAAUACUCCUGACUGACCGAUAGUGAACCAGUACCGUGAGGGAAAGGCGAAAAGAACCCCGGCGAGGGGAGUGAAAAAGAACCUGAAACCGUGUACGUACAAGCAGUGGGAGCACGCUUAGGCGUGUGACUGCGUACCUUUUGUAUAAUGGGUCAGCGACUUAUAUUCUGUAGCAAGGUUAACCGAAUAGGGGAGCCGAAGGGAAACCGAGUCUUAACUGGGCGUUAAGUUGCAGGGUAUAGACCCGAAACCCGGUGAUCUAGCCAUGGGCAGGUUGAAGGUUGGGUAACACUAACUGGAGGACCGAACCGACUAAUGUUGAAAAAUUAGCGGAUGACUUGUGGCUGGGGGUGAAAGGCCAAUCAAACCGGGAGAUAGCUGGUUCUCCCCGAAAGCUAUUUAGGUAGCGCCUCGUGAAUUCAUCUCCGGGGGUAGAGCACUGUUUCGGCAAGGGGGUCAUCCCGACUUACCAACCCGAUGCAAACUGCGAAUACCGGAGAAUGUUAUCACGGGAGACACACGGCGGGUGCUAACGUCCGUCGUGAAGAGGGAAACAACCCAGACCGCCAGCUAAGGUCCCAAAGUCAUGGUUAAGUGGGAAACGAUGUGGGAAGGCCCAGACAGCCAGGAUGUUGGCUUAGAAGCAGCCAUCAUUUAAAGAAAGCGUAAUAGCUCACUGGUCGAGUCGGCCUGCGCGGAAGAUGUAACGGGGCUAAACCAUGCACCGAAGCUGCGGCAGCGACGCUUAUGCGUUGUUGGGUAGGGGAGCGUUCUGUAAGCCUGUGAAGGUGUGCUGUGAGGCAUGCUGGAGGUAUCAGAAGUGCGAAUGCUGACAUAAGUAACGAUAAAGCGGGUGAAAAGCCCGCUCGCCGGAAGACCAAGGGUUCCUGUCCAACGUUAAUCGGGGCAGGGUGAGUCGACCCCUAAGGCGAGGCCGAAAGGCGUAGUCGAUGGGAAACAGGUUAAUAUUCCUGUACUUGGUGUUACUGCGAAGGGGGGACGGAGAAGGCUAUGUUGGCCGGGCGACGGUUGUCCCGGUUUAAGCGUGUAGGCUGGUUUUCCAGGCAAAUCCGGAAAAUCAAGGCUGAGGCGUGAUGACGAGGCACUACGGUGCUGAAGCAACAAAUGCCCUGCUUCCAGGAAAAGCCUCUAAGCAUCAGGUAACAUCAAAUCGUACCCCAAACCGACACAGGUGGUCAGGUAGAGAAUACCAAGGCGCUUGAGAGAACUCGGGUGAAGGAACUAGGCAAAAUGGUGCCGUAACUUCGGGAGAAGGCACGCUGAUAUGUAGGUGAAGUCCCUCGCGGAUGGAGCUGAAAUCAGUCGAAGAUACCAGCUGGCUGCAACUGUUUAUUAAAAACACAGCACUGUGCAAACACGAAAGUGGACGUAUACGGUGUGACGCCUGCCCGGUGCCGGAAGGUUAAUUGAUGGGGUCAGCGCAAGCGAAGCUCUUGAUCGAAGCCCCGGUAAACGGCGGCCGUAACUAUAACGGUCCUAAGGUAGCGAAAUUCCUUGUCGGGUAAGUUCCGACCUGCACGAAUGGCGUAAUGAUGGCCAGGCUGUCUCCACCCGAGACUCAGUGAAAUUGAACUCGCUGUGAAGAUGCAGUGUACCCGCGGCAAGACGGAAAGACCCCGUGAACCUUUACUAUAGCUUGACACUGAACAUUGAGCCUUGAUGUGUAGGAUAGGUGGGAGGCUUUGAAGUGUGGACGCCAGUCUGCAUGGAGCCGACCUUGAAAUACCACCCUUUAAUGUUUGAUGUUCUAACGUUGACCCCUAAUCGGGGUUGCGGACAGUGUCUGGUGGGUAGUUUGACUGGGGCGGUCUCCUCCUAAAGAGUAACGGAGGAGCACGAAGGUUGGCUAAUCCUGGUCGGACAUCAGGAGGUUAGUGCAAUGGCAUAAGCCAGCUUGACUGCGAGCGUGACGGCGCGAGCAGGUGCGAAAGCAGGUCAUAGUGAUCCGGUGGUUCUGAAUGGAAGGGCCAUCGCUCAACGGAUAAAAGGUACUCCGGGGAUAACAGGCUGAUACCGCCCAAGAGUUCAUAUCGACGGCGGUGUUUGGCACCUCGAUGUCGGCUCAUCACAUCCUGGGGCUGAAGUAGGUCCCAAGGGUAUGGCUGUUCGCCAUUUAAAGUGGUACGCGAGCUGGGUUUAGAACGUCGUGAGACAGUUCGGUCCCUAUCUGCCGUGGGCGCUGGAGAACUGAGGGGGGCUGCUCCUAGUACGAGAGGACCGGAGUGGACGCAUCACUGGUGUUCGGGUUGUCAUGCCAAUGGCACUGCCCGGUAGCUAAAUGCGGAAGAGAUAAGUGCUGAAAGCAUCUAAGCACGAAACUUGCCCCGAGAUGAGUUCUCCCUGACUCCUUGAGAGUCCUGAAGGAACGUUGAAGACGACGACGUUGAUAGGCCGGGUGUGUAAGCGCAGCGAUGCGUUGAGCUAACCGGUACUAAUGAACCGUGAGGCUUAACCUU
rnacentral:rRNA from 1 species